rnacentral:rRNA from 1 species
UAGAGUUUGAUCCUGGCUCAGGAUGAACUCUAGCUAUAGGCUUAACACAUGCAAGUCGAGGGGUAACAUGGGAGAAGCUUGCUUUUCCUGAUGACGACCGGCGCACUGGUGAGUAACGCGUAUCCAACCUGCCCGAGACUAGGGGAUAGUCCCUCGAAAGAGAGCUUAAUACCCUAUGUUGCCGCCUUAGGACAUCCGCAAGCGGCGAAAGAUUUAUCGGUCUCGGAUGGGGAUGCGUCUGAUUAGCUUGUCGGCGGGGUAACGGCCCACCGAGGCGACGAUCAGUAGGGGUUCUGAGAGGAAGGUCCCCCACAUUGGUACUGAGACACGGACCAAACUCCUACGGGAGGCAGCAGUGAGGAAUAUUGGUCAAUGGACGCAAGUCUGAACCAGCCAAGUAGCGUGCAGGAUGACGGCCCUAUGGGUUGUAAACUGCUUUUGCGCGUGAUUAAAACUGUCCACGUGUGGGCAUUUGCAGUUAGCGCGCGAAUAAGGACCGGCUAAUUCCGUGCCAGCAGCCGCGGUAAUACGGAAGGUCCUGGUGUUAUCCGGAUUUAUUGGGUUUAAAGGGAGCGUAGGCGGCUUCUUAAGCGUGUUGUGAAAUGUAGAUGCUCAACAUCUGAAUUGCAGCGCGAACUGGAGUACUUGAGUGCGCAGGAAGUUGGCGGAAUUCGUCGUGUAGCGGUGAAAAUGCUUAGAUAUGACGAAGAACUCCGAUUGCGAAGGCAGCUUGCUGGGCCGCAACUGACGCUGAAGCUCGAAGGUGCGGGUAUCGAACAGGAUUAGAUACCCUGGUAGUCCGCACAGUAAACGAUGGAUACUCGCUGUCGGCGAUACACAGUCGGUGGCCAAGCGAAAGCGUUAAGUAUCCCACCUGGGGAGUACGCCGGCAACGGUGAAACUCAAAGGAAUUGACGGGGGCCCGCACAAGCGGAGGAACAUGUGGUUUAAUUCGAUGAUACGCGAGGAACCUUACCCGGGCUUGAAUUGCUGGUGGCGGUAGCUGGAGACAGCCUCCUUCCUUCGGGACGCCAGUGAAGGUGCUGCAUGGUUGUCGUCAGCUCGUGCCGUAAGGUGUCGGCUUAAGUGCCAUAACGAGCGCAACCCUUGCCGUUAGUUGCCAUCAGGUCAAGCUGGGCACUCUAGCGGGACUGCCAUCGUAAGAUGUGAGGAAGGUGGGGAUGACGUCAAAUCAGCACGGCCCUUAUGUCCGGGGCGACACACGUGUUACAAUGGGGGGUACAGAGGGAAGCCACCUGGCGACAGGGCGCGGAUCCCGAAAUCCCUUCUCAGUUCGGAUCGGAGUCUGGAACUCGACUCCGUGAAGCUGGAUUCGCUAGUAAUCGCGCAUCAGCCAUGGCGCGGUGAAUACGUUCCCGGGCCUUGUACACACCGCCGGUCA